AAACUGAAACUCGCUCAAGUUUGACAGCACUGUGAGCUAAGAGACUCUCGCACAGAAACGGCGGCGUUUGUUUGUGAGGUGAAAGCGAUCAUUAACAUGUGAAGUUCUUUUUUUUAAGGAGGACAAAGAAGGCUGUUGGAAGCGUGGAGUGUAUUCUGUUAUUAUCUGGAUAAGAGAUUUUGCGGUUAGUCUCCUCCUAAGUCUAUAUCCAACCAAGAUAACAGCGUCAACUCUUGACCGGAUGUCAGUGGAAGCCUGGGGUUGGGGUUAUCUACCGUGCCUUCUGGCAGUGCUGGUGUUAUGUAGCGUUACCUUGACCUGGGACGCACCUCUCUUUGCUCCAUAUCGUGAACACUAUGUGGCCCAAGCACAUUAUCACGGCGUAGACGUGUUCACAGAGGCCCUUCACUCACCUGCAGGUCCAGAACAGUUCAUGGAGCACUUCUAUGUUUGCUACGGGCGAGAUGGAAGAAAAACCUACUUUAAAAAACAGGACCAAAAUUAUUUCUCAAAUAGAAGAUUCUGGGUGAUCAGUUCGUCUGGAAAAUUUGUGGCCUCUAUGCGGACUUGCUAGUGCGGCGGCUCAAACUUGUGCACCGAGACUCAUUCUUUAAAGAACACACGAGAUUUUCACUUUAAAACAAAUAUGCAACAAGCAUGGAGAUAGUGGCUACACCGACAAAGAAUGCCUGAGAAACAAGGUUUUUUUUUUUUAAACACAUGAAACAACGGCAAAAAUGAGCACAGAUCAGUAACAUCACAUAUCAUAAGUAGCUUAUCAAACCUCUAAGGGAUAAGCAUUUUUCUAUCGUUAACAUGUCUUUGCUGCCCUGUUCUGGCGGAGGAACGCUCGUCUAGCCCAUGUAAGGGAGAACCCCCCC